rnacentral:rRNA from 1 species
GUGUCAGCAGCCGCGGUAAUACGAAGGGGGCUAGCGUUGCUCGGAAUUACUGGGCGUAAAGGGAGCGUAGGCGGAUAGUUCAGUCAGAGGUGAAAGCCCAGGGCUCAACCUUGGAACUGCCUUUGAUACUGGCUAUCUUGAGUUUGGGAGAGGUGUGUGGAACUCCGAGUGUAGAGGUGAAAUUCGUAGAUAUUCGGAAGAACACCAGUGGCGAAGGCGACACACUGGCCCAAUACUGACGCUGAGGCUCGAAAGCGUGGGGAGCAAACAGGAUUAGAUACCCUAGUAGUCC